UGGGGAAUAUUGCACAAUGGACGGAAGUCUGAUGCAGCGACGCCGCGUGGGGGAUGAAGGCUUUCGGGUUGUAAACUCCUUUCAGUACAGAAGAAGCUUUAUUGUGACGGUAUGUGCAGAAGAAGCGCAGGCUAACUACGUGCCAGCAGCCGCGGUAAUACGUAGGGCGCGAGCGUUGUCCGGAAUUAUUGGGCGUAAAGAGCUCGUAGGCGGUUUGUCGCGUCUGCUGUGAAAGACCGGGGCUUAACUCCGGGGCUGCAGUGGGUACGGGCAGGCUGGAGUGCGGUAGGGGUAACCGGAAUUCCUGGUGUAGCGGUGGAAUGCGCAGAUAUCAGGAGGAACACCGAUGGCGAAGGCAGGUUACUGGGCCGUUACUGACGCUGAGGAGCGAAAGCAUGGGGAGCGAACAGG
rnacentral:rRNA from 1 species